rnacentral:rRNA from 1 species
GACGAACGCUGGCGGCGUGCUUAACACAUGCAAGUCGAACGAUGAACCCGGAGCUUGCUCUGGGGGAUUAGUGGCGAACGGGUGAGUAACACGUGAGUAACCUGCCCUGGACUCUGGGAUAAGCGUUGGAAACGACGUCUAAUACCGGAUAGGACCUUGGAUCGCAUGAUCUGGGGUGGAAAGUUUUUUCGGUCUGGGAUGGACUCGCGGCCUAUCAGCUUGUUGGUGAGGUAAUGGCUCACCAAGGCGUCGACGGGUAGCCGGCCUGAGAGGGUGACCGGCCACACUGGGACUGAGACACGGCCCAGACUCCUACAGGAGGCAGCAGUGGGGAAUAUUGCACAAUGGGCGAAAGCCUGAUGCAGCAACGCCGCGUGCGGGAUGACGGCCGUCGGGUUGUAAACCGCUUUUAGUAGGGAAGAAGGGCUUCGGCUUGACGGUACCUGCAGAAAAAGGACCGGCUAACUACGUG